UCCGUAGGGUGCGAGCGUUAAUCGGAAUUACUGGGCGUAAAGCGUGCGCAGGCGGUUAUGUAAGACAGAGGUGAAAUCCCCGGGCUCAACCUGGGAACUGCCUUUGUGACUGCAUGACUAGAGUACGGCAGAGGGGGAUGGAAUUCCGCGUGUAGCAGUGAAAUGCGUAGAUAUGCGGAGGAACACCGAUGGCGAAGGCAAUCCCCUGGGCCUGUACUGACGCUCAUGCACGAAAGCGUGGGGAGAAAACCGG
rnacentral:rRNA from 1 species